CACAAAGGUCGAACAUGGUGGAACUG
rnacentral:piRNA from 1 species